rnacentral:rRNA from 1 species
UACGUAGGGUGCAAGCGUUAAUCGGAAUUACUGGGCGGAAAGCGUCCGCAGGCGGUUUUGUAAGUCUGUCGUGAAAGCCCCGGGCUCAACCUGGGAAUUGCGAUGGAGACUGCAAGGCUUGAAUCUGGCAGAGGGGGGUAGAAUUCCACGUGUAGCAGUGAAAUGCGUAGAGAUGUGGAGGAACACCGAUGGCGAAGGCAGCCCCCUGGGUCAAGAUUGACGCUCAUGCACGAAAGCGUGGGGAGCAAACAGG